rnacentral:rRNA from 1 species
AUUGAACGCUGGCGGCAGGCCUAACACAUGCAAGUCGAACGGUAACAGGAAACAGCUUGCUGUUUCGCUGACGAGUGGCGGACGGGUGAGUAAUGUCUGGGAAACUGCCUGAUGGAGGGGGAUAACUACUGGAAACGGUAGCUAAUACCGCAUAACGUCGCAAGACCAAAGAGGGGGACCUUCGGGCCUCUUGCCAUCGGAUGUGCCCAGAUGGGAUUAGCUAGUAGGUGGGGUAACGGCUCACCUAGGCGACGAUCCCUAGCUGGUCUGAGGGGAUGACCAGCCACACUGGAACUGAGACACGGUCCAGACUCCUACGGGAGGCAGCAGUGGGGAAUAUUGCACAAUGGGCGCAAGCCUGAUGCAGCCAUGCCGCGUGUAUGAAGAAGGCCUUCGGGUUGUAAAGUACUUUCAGCGGGGAUGAAGGGAGUAAAGUUAAUACCUUUGCUCAUUGACGUUACCCGCAGAAGAAGCACCGGCUAACUCCGUG